rnacentral:rRNA from 1 species
AUGCCAGCCGCCGCGGUAAUACGGAGGGUGCAAGCGUUAAUCGGAAUUACUGGGCGUAAAGCGCACGCAGGCGGUCUGACAAGUCGGAUGUGAAAUCCCCGGGCUCAACCCGGGAACUGCAUUCGAAACUGUCAGGCUGGAGUCUUGUAGAGGGGGGUAGAAUUCCAGGUGUAGCGGUGAAAUGCGUAGAGAUCUGGAGGAAUACCGGUGGCGAAGGCGGCCCCCUGGACAAAGACUGACGCUCAGGUGCGAAAGCGUGGGGAGCAAACGGGAUUAGAUACCCUGGUAGUCCACGCUGUAAACGAUGUCGACUUGGAGGUUGUGCCCUUGAGGCGUGCUUCGGAGCUAACGCGUUAAGUCGACCGCCUGGGGAGUACGGCCGCAAGGUUAAAACUCAAAUGAAUUGACGGGGCCGCACAAGCGGUGGAGCAUGUGGUUUAAUUCGAUGCAACGCGAAGAACCUUACCUACUCUUGACAUCCAGAGAACUUAGCAGAGAUGCUUUGGUGCCUUCGGGAACUCUGAGACAGGUG